GGACUACCGGGGUUUCUAAUCCUGUUUGCUCCCCACGCUUUCGAGCCUCAACGUCAGUUACUGUCCAGUAAGCCGCCUUCGCCACUGGUGUUCCUCCUAAUAUCUACGCAUUUCACCGCUACACUAGGAAUUCCACUUACCUCUCCAGCACUCUAGCAUGGCAGUUUCCAAAGCAGUUCAGGGGUUAAGCCCCUGCCUUUCACUUCAGACUUGCCGCGCCGUCUACGCUCCCUUUACACCCAGUAAAUCCGGAUAACGCUUGCCCCCUACGUAUUACCGCGGCGGCUGGCAC
rnacentral:misc_RNA from 1 species